rnacentral:rRNA from 1 species
UACGGAGGGUGCAAGCGUUGUUCGGAAUUAUUGGGCGUAAAGCACGCGUAGGCGGGCUUGUAUGUCAGAUGUGAAAGCCCUUGGCUCAACUGAGGAAGUGCAUCUGAAACUGCAAGUCUUGAGUACGAGAGAGGAGAGUGGAAUUCCCAGUGUAGAGGUGAAAUUCAUAGAUAUUGGGAAGAACACCGGCGGCGAAAGCGGCUCUCUGGCUCGAUACUGACGCUGAGGCGUGAAAGCGUGGGGAGCAAACAGGAUUAGAUACCCUGGUAGUCCACGCUGUAAACGAUGUUCACUAGGUGUCGGGGGUAAUAAAACCUUCAGUGCCGCAGCUAACGCAUUAAGUGAACCGCCUGGGGAUUACGGUCGCAAGAUUAAA